GUAGGGUGCGAGCGUUGUCCGGAAUUAUUGGGCGUAAAGCGCGCGCAGGUGGUUUCUUAAGUCUGAUGUGAAAGCCCACGGCUCAACCGUGGAGGGUCAUUGGAAACUGGGAGACUUGAGUGCAGAAGAGGAAAGUGGAGUUCCAUGUGUAGCGGUGAAAUGCGUAGAGAUAUGGAGGAACACCAGUGGCGAAGGCGACUUUCUGGUCUGUAACUGACACUGAGGCGCGAAAGCGUGGGGAGCAAACAGGAUUAGAUACCCUGGUAGUCCACGCCGUAAACGAUGAGUGCUAAGUGUUAGAGGGUUUCCGCCCUUUAGUGCUGAAGUUAACGCGUUAAGCGCCCCGCCUGGGGAGU
rnacentral:rRNA from 1 species